AUGUCUCUCUCUGGGGUGCUGAAGCUGCUGGUGACCUCCACAUGGCUGGGAUCCAGCUUUGCCCAGAAAGUAACUCAAGUCCAGCCACCAGUGUCAGUGGAAGAGGCAGAGGCUGUGAUCCUGCACUGCACCUAUGACACCAGUGAAUCAAGAUACAGUCUCUUCUGGUAUAAGCAGCCCAGCAGUGGGGAGAUGGUCUUACUCAUUCGCCAGAACUCUUAUGACACACAGAAUGCAACAGAAGGUCGCUACUCCUCGCAUUUCCAGAAAGCACACAAGUCCAUCCACCUUAUCAUAUCAGCUUCUCAGCUUGAGGACUCAGCAGUGUAUUUCUGUGCACUGAGUGAGCCACAGUGUAAGGACUGUUGUGGGGAGAACAAAAACCCCCAGGUGUGCCUGAGGCAGCCACCUGCUGCAGAGGCCAAGGAAGAGAGCCACCACUUCCCACAGGAAAUAGCUAGGACUGAGGCAGCACAGGGUAGUGUUAGAGGGAGAUGCUUGCUGAGCAAGCCCCUCUCUGGGCUCAUGGCCGUAUCUACAGGCAUCAGUAAUUACGGACAUCCACAUCCAUGA